CCUACGGGCGGCAGCAGUGAGGAAUAUUGGUCAAUGGGCGCAAGCCUGAACCAGCCAAGUCGCGUGAGGGAAGACGGCCCUACGGGUUGUAAACCUCUUUUGCCGGGAGGCAAGCCUGAGCACGUGUGCACAGGCGGAGCGUCCCCGGCGAAAGAGCAUCGGCUAACUCCGUGCCAGCCGCCGCGGGAAGACGGAGGAUGCGAGCGUUAUUCGGAGUUAUUGGGUUUAAAGGUUGCGCAGGCGGGCUGUUAAGCCGGCGGUAAAAAUUCAGGGCUCAACCCUGUUGGGCCGUCGGAACUGGGAGGCUUGAGGGGGCGAGAGGUAUGCGGGAUGCGGGGUGUAGCGGGGAAAUGCAUAGAUAUCACGCAGAACGCCGAGGGCGAAGGCAGCAGACCGGCGCCCAACUGACGCUGAGGCACGAAAGCGUGGGGAUCGAACAGGAUGAGAGACCCGAGUAGUC
rnacentral:rRNA from 1 species